AUCUUGGACAGCUCAAUGUAAUAGAAUCUUAGAGAAUGAGUCCAGUGAUCGGAGGUACAAAUAUAAAUAACUAUUCGAAGGGUUUUUAAUAAUUUCAUAAAACUCCAUGUUGCCAAAGUCAAAAAGCACCAAGCCAAUUCAACCCACUUGGAAAAAUGCACGAAUCCCAAAUCAUACCAGUCCAAUUCAUAUGUAUCGCUAGAAUAUGUAUCGUUAGUUAUGCCUCGUGAAUAUAUGUACAUGCAAGGGUGAAAUAUUUUGUUUAGAAUUGAAAUGCUCCUUGAAAUAUAUACUGGAGUUUUAAAGUCGGAGUGACGUUUUUGUAAGUUCGGCAUAGAUGAUCGAGAUAUCAACAUUGAUAUAAAAGUGGAUAUGGAAUUUCCAAAGCACCGAACAACUUGGAUUAAAAAAGAAAAACCACUUUUGAAUUUUUUUUAGUAAAAAGGCGCUAAAGCAAAAAAAAUAGCAUCUUCCUCGUAUCAACCCAAUAUGCGAUGGUGUCAAAUAUCGAUCAAGUUAUUCUCUCAACUUCAAAACUAUUCACCACCAAAUACCUGGCGAUGAAAACAUAAUAUUUAUUAACUAUCUUCAUUUUUUCACAAGGACGCACCUAUUUUAUGCCCCAGGUGUAUCGGAUCUCUUGGUAACCGAUAUCCCAAAUCAAUCAACAUAUCGUUUACUUGGUGUACACUUUCCUGAAAAAAAAUGAAGAAGAAACAAGAUAUGAUUUCAUCUUGAAGAUAAUGAUUACUAAUGCUUUGGAUUGAAAAAGAAGCACAUCGAUGAUUUGGUCAUAAUAAGAAGCAAUGUUUAAUUUUACAAAUCGGAGUAUGAAAGAGCGAGGAAAACGAUCGAAAGAUUGUAUUAAGCAUAAGCCAAUUGAUUUAUGCAUUACUUGUGCUUCCCUGGCAAGGAAAGGACAGUAACACUACUAAUGCGAUUAAGAAUGCUUCAUGAAGCUUCAAAUCUUUACAUCGCGACGAUUGUUGAAUAAAGGCACCAAAAAAUAGUAGCUUGUUUUAUAGUGGUCUUUGUUCAUACAUCUAUUUCUUCUUUCGUGAUAGCGUAACGUUCGUCCAGAUAAUAGAACAGUAUAAUGCCAAUACAGAAAUCCUACUAAUGCAAUUAACCCAAAUCCACAAGUUUGUGGUUGAGAACCGAUUUCUCAGCUUUUUCAAGUAAAUUCUGUAACGACAGGUUUAACACGUUCAACUAUUAUAAUGCAAACAAAUUGUUUGUACGAAAUUGAAGCAAAAAAAUGAGAACGGU